CCUACGGGUGGCAGCAGUGAGGAAUAUUGGUCAAUGGGAGAGAUCCUGAACCAGCCAAGCCGCGUGAGGGAAGACGGCCCUAUGGGUUGUAAACCUCUUUUGUCGGAGAACAAAACCCGGGACGUUUCCCGGACUGCGUGUAUCCGAAGAAAAAGCAUCGGCUAACUCCGUGCCAGCAGCCGCGGAUAUACUGAGUAUGCUAGCGUUAUCCGGAUUGAUUGUGUUUAAAGGGUGCCUAGGCGGUCCGUUAAGUCAGCGGUAAAAUUGCGGGGCUGAACCCCGACGCGCCGUUGAAUCUGGCAGACGUGAGUUGGGGAGAGGUACGCGGAAUGCGCGGUGUAGCGGGGGAAUGCAUAGAUAUCGCGCAGAACUCCGAUUGCGAAGGCAGCGUACCGGCGCCAGACUGACGCUGAGGCACGAAAGCGUGGGGAUCGAACAGGAUUAGAUACCCCAGUAGUC
rnacentral:rRNA from 1 species